GAUGAACGCUGGCGGCGUGCCUAAUACAUGCAAGUAGAACGCUGAAGGAGGAGCUUGCUCUUCUGGAUGAGUUGCGAACGGGUGAGUAACGCGUAGGUAACCUGCCUGGUAGCGGGGGAUAACUAUUGGAAACGAUAGCUAAUACCGCAUGACAACAGUUAUUGCAUGAUAACUGUUUAAAAGGGGCAACUGCUCCACUACCAGAUGGACCUGCGUUGUAUUAGCUAGUUGGUGAGGUAACGGCUCACCAAGGCGACGAUACAUAGCCGACCUGAGAGGGUGAUCGGCCACACUGGGACUGAGACACGGCCCAGACUCCUACGGGAGGCAGCAGUAGGGAAUCUUCGGCCAUGGACGGAAGUCUGACCGGGCAACGCCGCGGGAGUGAAGAAGGUUUUCGGAUCGUAAAGCUCUGUUGUAAGAGAAGAAAGAGUGUGAGAGUGGAAAGUUCACACUGUGACGGUAUCUUACCAGAAAGAGACGGCUAACUACGUG
rnacentral:rRNA from 1 species